rnacentral:rRNA from 1 species
UACGUAGGGUGCGAGCGUUGUCCGGAAUUACUGGGCGUAAAGAGCUCGUAGGUGGUUUGUCGCGUUGUCCGUGAAAACUCACAGCUCAACUGUGGGCGUGCGGGCGAUACGGGCAGACUGGAGUACUGCAGGGGAGACUGGAAUUCCUGGUGUAGCGGUGGAAUGCGCAGAUAUCAGGAGGAACACCGGUGGCGAAGGCGGGUCUCUGGGCAGUAACUGACGCUGAGGAGCGCAAGCGUGGGGAGCGAACAGG